rnacentral:rRNA from 1 species
UUGGUAGAGGAGCGUUCUGUAGGCCGUUGAAGGUGAACCGGGAGGUUUGCUGGAGGUAUCAGAAGUGCGAAUGCUGACAUGAGUAACGAUAAGGGGGGCGAAAAACCUCCCCGCCGGAAGAUCAAGGUUUCCUGCGCAACGCUAAUCGGCGCAGGGUGAGUCGGCUCCUAAGGCGAGGCAGAGAUGCGUAGUCGAUGGGAAGCUGGUUAACAUUCCAGCACUUCUUACUGGUGCGAUGGGGGGACGGAGAAGGCUAGGCCAUCGCGGCGAUGGUUGUCCGCGUUUAAGGUGGUAGGCUGGUGACUUAGGUAAAUCCGGGUCGCUCUCUUGAUUGAGAAAGCCGAGAGCUGAUGACGAGCCCAAGGCGAAAGCUACGGGUGAAGUGGUCGAUGCCCUGCUUCCAGGAAAAGCCUCUAAGCUUCAGCCAGUAAGGAACCGUACCGUAAACCGACACAGGUGAUCAGGUAGAGAAUACCAAGGCGCUUGAGAGAACUCGGGUGAAGGAACUAGGCAAAAUGGUACCGUAACUUCGGGAGAAGGUACGCCGGCUUGGGUGAUGGGACACGCUCCCUGAGCCUGGGCUGGUCGAAGUGACCAGGUGGCUGCGACUGUUUAUUAAAAACAUAGCACUCUGCUAACACGAAAGUGGACGUAUAGGGUGUGACGCCUGCCCGGUGCCGGAAGGUUAAUUGAUGGGGUUAGCUGGACUUGUCCAGCGAAGCUCUUGAUCGAAGCCCCGGUAAACGGCGGCCGUAACAAUAACGGUCCUAAGGUAGCGAAAUUCCUUGUCGGGUAAGUUCCGACCUGCACGAAUGGCGUAACGAUGGCCACACUGUCUCCACCCGAGACUCAGUGAAAUUGAAAUCGCUGUUAAGAUGCAGUGUACCCGCGGCUAGACGGAAAGACCCCGUGAACCUUUACUAUAGCUUCACACGGGACUUUGACCUUAUUUGUGUAGGAUAGCUGGGAGGCUUUGAAGUGGUAGCGCUAGCUGCCAUGGAGCCGUCCUUGAAAUACCAGCCUGGUAAUGUUGAGGUUCUAACUCAGGUCCCUGAUCGGGAUCGAGGACAGUGUGUGGUGGGUAGUUUGACUGGGGCGGUCUCCUCCUAAAGCGUAACGGAGGAGCACGAAGGUGCGCUAAUCCUGGUCGGAAAUCAGGAGUUUAGUGUAAAGGCACAAGCGCGCUUGACUGCGAGACUGACAAGUCGAGCAGGUAGGAAACUAGGUCUUAGUGAUCCGGCGGUUCUGAAUGGAAGGGCCGUCGCUCAACGGAUAAAAGGUACUCCGGGGAUAACAGGCUGAUACCGCCCAAGAGUUCACAUCGACGGCGGUGUUUGGCACCUCGAUGUCGGCUCAUCGCAACCUGGGGCUGAAGUAGGUCCCAAGGGUUGGGCUGUUCGCCCAUUAAAGCGGUACGUGAGCUGGGUUCAGAACGUCGUGAGACAGUUCGGUCCAUAUCCGGUGCAGGCGCAAGAGCAUUGCGAGGAGCCUUCCUUAGUACGAGAGGACCGGGAAGGACGCACCGCUGGUGUACCUGUUAUCGUGCCAACGGUAAACGCAGGGUAGCCAAGUGCGGAGCGGAUAACCGCUGAAAGCAUCUAAGUGGGAAGCCCACCUCAAGAUGAGUGCUCUCAUGGAGUUUCCAGUAAGGUCACGGGCAGAACACCCGUUUACUAGGCAUCAGGUGGAAGAGCAGCAAUGUUUGCAGCCAAGAUGUGCUAACAGACCGAGGAG